rnacentral:rRNA from 1 species
CAUGCAGUCGAGCGAGCUUGCCUAGAUGAAUUUGGUGCUUGCACCAAAUGAAACUAGAUACAAGCGAGCGGCGGACGGGUGAGUAACACGUGGGUAACCUGCCCAAGAGACUGGGAUAACACCUGGAAACAGAUGCUAAUACCGGAUAACAACACUAGACGCAUGUCUAGAGUUUAAAAGAUGGUUCUGCUAUCACUCUUGGAUGGACCUGCGGUGCAUUAGCUAGUUGGUAAGGUAACGGCUUACCAAGGCAAUGAUGCAUAGCCGAGUUGAGAGACUGAUCGGCCACAUUGGGACUGAGACACGGCCCAAACUCCUACGGGAGGCAGCAGUAGGGAAUCUUCCACAAUGGACGCAAGUCUGAUGGAGCAACGCCGCGUGAGUGAAGAAGGGUUUCGGCUCGUAAAGCUCUGUUGGUAGUGAAGAAAGAUAGAGGUAGUAACUGGCCUUUAUUUGACGGUAAUUACUUAGAAAGUCACGGCUAACUACGUGCCAGCAGCCGCGGUAAUACGUAGGUGGCAAGCGUUGUCCGGAUUUAUUGGGCGUAAAGCGAGUGCAGGCGGUUCAAUAAGUCUGAUGUGAAAGCCUUCGGCUCAACCGGAGAAUUGCAUCAGAAACUGUUGAACUUGAGUGCAGAAGAGGAGAGUGGAACUCCAUGUGUAGCGGUGGAAUGCGUAGAUAUAUGGAAGAACACCAGUGGCGAAGGCGGCUCUCUGGUCUGCAACUGACGCUGAGGCUCGAAAGCAUGGGUAGCGAACAGGAUUAGAUACCCUGGUAGUCCAUGCCGUAAACGAUGAGUGCUAAGUGUUGGGAGGUUUCCGCCUCUCAGUGCUGCAGCUAACGAGGNAA